rnacentral:lncRNA from 1 species
AGAGAAACUGCACCGCCAGAACGCCUUGCCUUGCCAAAUCCCACAGGAGCUCAGCGGUGGAAGCAGCGGAGGAGAACCACAGUGGGAAAUGGCACAAAGGCUGGCACCUCACCAAGAACAGCAGGGAUGGAGAAGCAGUGAACAAUGGAGAAGCUGCUUUAAUUCUCCUCCUUUCCUUUCAGCUAUUGGAAGAAUGCUUAGAUGAUUUCCAACACUGCAGUGGACAACAGCACCAUUGGAAGCACUCAGUGAAACCCAAAUUAUGUUAUGGAUGCUUCCUCAAUGCUGUGACACAGGCAUAAGGCCUUGAUCUCAUUCAGGCCCUUAGACUAACCAGCCUCCAGACUCAUAAACCAAAUAAAGUUUUGUGGAUUUUGAAUGACCUAAUCUCAGGGCAAGGGUUGCAAACUUAGACACAUAAGGAACCGGGCAAGAUGGUGCUGAUGGACAAGGGCAGGAUGUUCUCUGCGCUCUGGUUCCCCCUCUAAAAGGAAACAAUGACUGAUAUGUGACAGUCUGCCAACAACCCUCAGCCUGCAGUGUUUACAAUGGCUCUUGAAAUCCCUUGAGGUCCUAGAACUUCUGUCUGUCUGCUCCAAAAUUUCAAGGAAAUAUGACAUUUUCUUUUAAGG